AGGGGAGCUGGCGCAUGCCGGCUGAGAGGGGACCCAGUGCGGUCCCGACCCAAGAACCUGAUCUGGGUAAUGCCAGCGUAGGGA
rnacentral:ncRNA from 16 species